GACGAACGCUGGGGGCGUGCUUAACACAUGCAAGUCGAACGGAGUUCCUUGGAUAGAGGCUUCGGCCAAUUGAAUUGGAACUUAGUGGCGGACUGGUGAGUAACGCGUGAGGAACCUACCUUUCAGAGGGGGACAACAGUUGGAAACGACUGCUAAUACCGCAUGACACAUUCGGGCGGCAUCGCUUGAAUGUCAAAGAUUUUAUCGCUGAAAGAUGGCCUCGCGUCUGAUUAGCUAGUUGGUAGGGUAACGGCCUACCAAGGCGACGAUCAGUAGCCGGACUGAGAGGUUGACCGGCCACAUUGGGACUGAGAUACGGCCCAGACUCCUACGGGAGGCAGCAGUGGGGAAUAUUGGGCAAUGGACGCAAGUCUGACCCAGCAACGCCGCGUGAAGGAAGAAGGCUUUCGGGUUGUAAACUUCUUUUAAGUGGGAAGAGUAGAAGACGGUACCACUUGAAUAAGCCACGGCUAACUACGUGCCAGCAGCCGCUGUAACAC
rnacentral:rRNA from 1 species